rnacentral:tRNA from 1 species
AUUUAUAUAGUUUAAAUAAAACAUUAUAUUUUCAAUGUAAAAAAAAAUGAAAAUUUUAUAAAUA